rnacentral:rRNA from 1 species
UACGAAGGGGGCUAGCGCUGUUCGGAAUUACUGGGCGUAAAGGGCGCGUAGGCGGUACUUCAAGUCAGGCGUGAAAGCCCCGGGCUCAACCUGGGAACCGCGCUUGAGACUGGAGAACUAGAGUUCGGGAGAGGAUGGUGGAAUUCCCAGUGUAGAGGUGAAAUUCGUAGAUAUUGGGAAGAACACCGAUGGCGAAGGCAGCCAUCUGGACCGACACUGACGCUGAGGCGCGAAAGCGUGGGGAGCAAACAGG